UGUCGUGUGCGUUUUGCGAGCAGGGCUGAGGCGUCGCGGGGGCGGGAGAACUCAGGGAGCAGCGUGUGGCCGUGCCGGCCGCGGGGCCGCUGGGCCGUGCCUUCGGUUUGGGUAGCAGCGCUGGCGGUGCGUGGCUGCGGAGGGCGAUGUGUGUCCGGCAGGAGGAGCUUUGCUCGCUGCUCAACGCGCUGUCCUGUAUUUAUCUACAGAGCCACGCACAGGGGGAGGGUAUGGUGGGGUAACCUUCAAGGCCAGGUUGGAUGGGGCCCUGGGCAGCCUGGUCUAGUACCAGAUGUGGAGGUUGGUCGCCCUGCCUGUGGCAGGGGGUUGGAACUUGAUGAUCCUGGGGGUCCAUUCCAACCCAAGCCAUUCUGUUGGGUUCAUUCCUCUCAGCUAGGCUGGAGUUGGCUGAGCUGACUUGUUUCCCUGUCUUCUAAGCAGUGUUUCCUGUGUCACACUGGCUAAUCUUUAUCAACGCUUCCACUUUGUGUGCUGUCUCAGCUGCAGCAACGCCCUCUUCCUGGCUGCUGCUUUGGGGAAAUGGCGUGUAGAGUUCCGUGCACUGAGCAUCAUUGCUGUUUCUGUAGUGCUUUGUGUCAUGGACGGGGGAAAUGAUCCAUUUCUCAAAGAGAAGGUGAAUUUCUGUUAAGGGAAAGGGUGGUUAUUGCUGAAAUAAUCCUUACUCCAAAGUGGGAGGAAACACAAUGUGUUGUAUGGUGUGUUAAAUAACUUUGUUUCUCCUUACAGCUGAUUCCUGUGAAAUAAAGUCUUUUAUUCUUUCAAGAAGAUACUCCACUGAGAGGAGUUGGAGAGUUCUGUAGGCUCCCUGGAAGCGUGGGCCAAAGUCCAGUAGUGGUAUAGGUCAGGAAAAAGGAUUUACAAGUUUUUCUUUUCUAAAGUAUUUUGGCUCCUCCUGGAGGUAAGUGCAGUGAAUUUCUCAGGAUAACACCUCACAGUAACUACACAGGCAUGGUGGUCUGUUUUCGCCAUGGUGCAAUCAGAUGGUGAAGGACUGUCACGAGAUGUUAAGUAAUUCACAUCACAAAACCUAAACCUUGGCAUCUUGAAAUAUUUGUUGGUAUUGUAGCAAUAUUUGCCAUUCUUCUAUCUCUUUAAAUCCACAUCAGUCUUGUCAAAGGAUCUGAGCCAGCUUUUUGCCUUCUGCAUCUUCCCACAGAAGGCCUGGUGUCUUAGGGCAGCACAUGCAACUCAUGUUGCUUCUGCACACCCCACCUUAUCCAGUGCUUCAUUCAUCACAGAAGAAAAAAAUAUAAUGCUCUAUUGCUGCUAUAACCUCCAGUUUAGUUUGUACAUCUGAAGAGUUUUGAUUGAAAAGCACUGCUCUCUUUGUUUUAUUUCUCCAUGUGAAUGCUUUCACUUUGUUGAAGGGGAAAAAGAAAAACAGUAUUAUAUGUCAGAACAGUUGCUGUCCUUAAACUUUAAGGCUAAGCUUAUGCUUAUGUUUGUGCAGCUGAUACCGAGUAAUGAUGGUAAGUAGUACGAUAGGGUGUGUGUUUUCUACAAACGGCAGAAAACAUGGAUAUAAAAUUGUCCAGGAUAAAUCUGCUGACAUAGCAACUACAUACUUUGCUUUUGUAUGUUCGGUAUCACUGAUACCACUUGCAGUGAUUCCUUCUCUUCCUUCCCCCACCUUGUUUCCAUGCUGCUGCUCUGGGUAGGAGGCAAGGAUCCUGCUUUGCAGAUGAAAUUACUUCCCUGUUUUACUGUGUUUCUUUAUCCGAUAAUGUAGAUGCUGCUGAUGUCUCAGUGAAGAGAGAACUGAGGUGAAAAAGUAAUGAAAGGAAUGCUUGAUGUGCCAGACAAGUAAAAUAGUUUCCUACGUUGUAUAGUUCACUUUCAGGAGUUUGGGGGUACCCGCUAUUUGUCAGGCUAGAUUUUACACAGCUUAGAAGCUUGGAAUGUUAAAUCCUGUGUUAUCUCAAACGUAGGUCAUCAUUUUACACUGUUCGUCUGGAAAUGCUCACACCCAUUUACCUUCUGACCCAGCAGGUCUUAACUGUGAGAUCCACAAGAAGCUUAUAGCCAUAUUGCAGAAAUAAGCACUGUCUCAGUGUUCCAUGUGAAAAGACUUAAAGUGACUAAAGAACUGAAGGCCUGCCUUUACUGUGUUUUGAGUACGUGGAUAUACUCUGAUUUAAUGCAUUUUAUGAAAGCUGCUUCAGGUGUUUGUAUGGUCCCGAGCCUGCUAAGCUGUCACAUAUGUCUGCCCUUUGCUGUGCCAGCAUCCUACACUGCAGAAACCACAAGUUUUGUUGCAAAAACGAAUUUGGUCUCAGUGCAAUCAGGUAAGCAACCACUCUGUGCCCUGAGAGUAAGGAGAAGCAGCUGGAAGUCGUGGAAGACGGUGCAGAGAACAAGGAUAAGUAGCAACGUGUGAUGCGUUUGCCUUCUGCAAAGAAGCAGUUAGUACGUUUGUAUGCUUUUCUUGCUUUCAUCGUGGUAAAUUCUUGCUCCUAAUUAAAACCAGAAAGAUUUUGUUGUAAAUUCAGCCUUCACUGGAUAACGUACUGGAAACAUGCCUGCAAUCUGCACGAGAAAUGCGUGCAUGUACCAGAUUGGUGUGUACAACAUACGCAAGAGUGUAAAAGCAUUCCAGGGUAAGUUUUAAGGUGUUUUGGUUUUGUGGAGACACCAUCCACAUCAGCACAGCUCAGAGAGCUGUUAAGAUGUUGGCCAUCUCUCAGGUUGUGUGUACUCACUGUUGGCCCUAUGUAAUUGCCAGCACACAAGUCAGCUGGGUGGGAAGGUUUUCAUAAUGGCUUGUGAAGGUGACACAUGCAAUUUGUAUUUCUCUUGGCACGUAAAUAAGUUUUAAAAUUGCACUUUCUUUGUUGUCUGCAGUCCCUUUGGAUGAAGGGGGAGAGCUGUAGAGUCACAGAGGCACUGCUGCUUGUAGAGCCUGUGAAAAAAAGCAGGUAAAGACGCAUUAAAGUGAGUGCUCUGAUCCUGAGCUUGGAGGAGCUGCCGUGGUGGUUUCCUUCUGUCAUCUACAGAAAUGCUUUGUGCAGUGGUAACAGCUUCAAGCACAAGAAGAGCCUCUUCAGGUGUUGUGGACGUGUAACUGCUACUGAACUGCAGAACAUAAUAUGAGGUGGGGGGUGGACAGGCUACUCCAAGUCAUGGCCUCACAGAAACAGUUUCAGUAGAGAGGAAACCUCACAUUCUCUUGGAACUUCCAUGAAUUUAAGUGAGGACCCAUUGGCAGUGGUGAAACAGGAAGUUAGUUCUAUUUUUGACACUGGUCAUGGGGAUGAGGGUAGUGAACUUCAUACUUGUUAAUCAGCACACAGUGAUGGGCCUUGGCAGAAGUGCAGGCUGAGCCCAGGAGAUUACAGUCGUGGGGAAACUCAGUUUCCCAACCAACAGUGGCAGAAACUUCCUGAGUAGAGGGAAUGGAUGAGCAUCUGCUGCUCAGCUGAAUAGGGAUAGUUCUCUUGAGGCCACAGAUAGAGUCACACAGUCCAGAACUACCCUCAGAGCUUUAGUCUUGGCCCACCCAGCUCCUGCAGAGCUAUGGGGACUGGAGCACCGUGCUGAAGAUAACCCUCAGCACACCUUGCUGGGGUCCGGGCCUGUAUGGAAGCCCUCUGGUUGGCUGUGUCCCAGCUUUCACAUACCCAACAAGAACCUCAGCGCUUCUGAGUAGAGCAAGUUAACACUUGGGAUGCACCGAUAUAGCUGUAGUUUGUGCGUGCUGUACUCAUUAGCAUGACUUGAUGAGAGCUUGUGUUGUACAAAGCAAGUUGGGUUUUGAGGUUUGCUCACUGCACACCCCACUCUAUUGCCAGUAGACAUGGGGAGAAGCUCUAACCCUGGGUUUGUACCACAUCUCACUGGGGAGCCUGUGGGUGCCUGUGCCACAAACAGUCUGUGAGCUGACAAAUCCUUAAGCAUGGUGGCAGUUCUCAUGCUUGUGAAAAACGAGGGGUAAGGGGGAUAGGUAGGGGUUCUUCCUUUCAUGAAUGACAAACUACUGAAAUCCAAAGCUCACUGAAAAUAACCUUCUAAAAAUGAAAUUGGAAGGUGUGAUUAAGGCGGUAUGAUCCUUCAGUUACAGCAAACUUCCAAUGCUGUUCUUUGUCUCUUGUGUGGUUCACAGAAAAAGUGGAUGUGUAACAUAGGUAAGACUUGCUGGAAUUUGCGUGGAAUCAUGCAUUGCUGCAAGGAAAUCCUGCAAGGAAACUGCUAAUGCUGGAGUCCCUGGUUAUGUGUAACAGUAUACUCACUUUCUCUGGCUAUUCAGAUGCAGUGGCAUGAAGUUACGCAUUGGUUUUGGUGCCAUUCAUCUGAAAAUCCAAACGUUUGCAGUGUGAGUGCGUUAACAGCAAUGCAGUCAAAGCAUUCCUUAACGCACACAAGCCAUUUCCUUUUGGGUGACAGUGCAAUGUGAAGAAGCACCCAGCUGCCAGGAGGUGUCACUUGGUAGCAACUCCUGUGCUGGAAUCCCCUGAGUUUGCUGCUCCUCUCUUUGACGGAGGUUUCAUAUCAUAAAUCAUAGAAUGGCCUGGGUUGGAAGGGACCUCAAGGAUCGCAAAGCACCGAACCCCCACAUGGCAUGCAGGGCUACCGACCUUCACAUUUAGUACCAGGCCAGGCUGCCCAGGGCCCCAUCCAACCUGGCCUUGAACACCUCCAGGGACGGGGCAUCCACAGCCUCUCUGGGCAGUCUGUUCCAGCACCUCGCCACUCAUAGUAAACAACUUCCCCAGUAUCCAACCUAAAUCUUCCCUCCUUCAACUUAAAACUAUUUCCCCUUGUCCUGCUGUUAUCUACCCUUUCAAGGAGUUCACUCCCCUCCUGUUUAUAGGCUCCCUUUAGGUACUGGAAGGCUGCAAUGAGGUCACCCUGCAGCCUUCUCUUCUCCAGGCUGAACAAGCCCAGCUCCCUCAGCCUGUCUUCAUAGGGAAGGUGCCCUAGCCUUCUCAUCAUCUUUGUGGCCCUCCUCUGGACCUGCUCCCACAGCUCCCUGUUGGGUUUUCCCAAAUUAUUUCACUAUGUUGUCAUUCAUUGGCUCUUUCCCACCUCAUCACGUACCUGACUAUUUUGUGUUUGGUUUUGCAAUUUCUCUGCAAAUACCUCUUCCUGGAAAACAGAAUAACAGUAAGUAGCUCAAGCUGCUGGCCAAGCUUCCAUUCCUGUGGUUUCACUUGCUCUGUUCUGUCAAGUUAUUUACAUGCAGCGUCCUAAGGAUAUAAUUGAGUGGAGUGCUAGUAAGCACUAACCUUUGUGUCUGCCCUCAGUCCAUGUAGGUCAGGCUUACCCAAGCUGUUUCCUACAGUGAAUUCACUGCCUACUCCUGGAGCCCUUGGUUGCACUAUUUCAUGAAAGCAGCAUGACCUGCUCUUGCAGGAACUACAAAAAGGGCAGAUUAGCAUCAGUCUCUUUACCUGCUGUGUUGCACAACCCAGAUCUGUUCUGAACCUUGCUCUUGCAUACACGAGCCCUAGGGUGCGCAAGUGAAAGGCAUUAUCACAUCUUAACAGCUCUGGUGUGCUUCAGUAUAGGAGAAAGAUUUCAAAGGUAGGCCAGGUGUUUGAGAUUGACUAUUUACAUUACCUUGCUCAAAACAGAGCUGCCAGCUUAUUCCCUGUUCUGAAUUCAUCUGUACCAGAGCCGUCUUGUACUCGGAGCCUUUUGGGGCAUGCAUUCCCCAGGCUUUGAAUUCCGAGAAUGCAGCUGUGUGAUUCAGACUGGAUGGCACGGCUCAUUUAAGGAGUUCGGUGUUAUCUUUUGUCCUUUGCUCUCCUGUGCCACACCGCACUGUGCCUGGCAUGCCAACAGGUCUGUCUGUAGCAGCAGGGUGAUUAGCAGGCUGUUACAUGUCCAGCCCCAUGCCUGCUUUUCUUUAGCCGAAGUUGGAAGUGUAGGAAGUUUGUGCAACUUCUCUAAAAGCCUGGAGGGGAUCAAUGAGGUACUUGAGAGCGUUUGCAACAUGGCAGCAAAAGCUGGUGAUCAGGCACGCAGCAAAACUCAGUCCUUGGGUUGCUGCAGCCUUCAUCUCAUUAAACCAUGCACCUAAUGAUGGGGUUUGGUUUGUAGGGGAGGAGCAGCAACACGUCCCUUGUGUAUGUGAUGGUUAAUGGUGUUUUUUCCUGCUUUAGGUCUUUGAUGCGUGACUGCUGGGUGUUUCGCUGUGUGCUGCCUCCUGAGCAGGCUUGAGGAACCCUGAUGUCUGUGAGCAGCAUUGGUGAUGCUAGGUGUAGUCAAGCAAAUGAUGAGAAAGCUAGACUAAGAUGUGGUGUAGGUUUCCCAUAGUUUUGUCUUUUAUAACUGUUACAGAGGGUACACAUUUAUUGUAUGACACAACUUCUUACAAUUAAGGAUUUACAUGUUACACCUGCACACCUAGCCAAAUACACCCUUUCUAUUUAAUGGCAAGGUAGAUUUGCACGGAGAGAAAUGGGUAGUCAGCCAUUUCAUGUAUAGGAUGGGUGUUUUCCAUGUCAGUGUUUUUGCACUGCCCCCUGAUAAGAGUACACAGUGGAAUUCCUUACCAUGCAAAUGUGUUCUACUGUCUCCACUCUGGUGACGGUGAAUCGUGUCCUCUGUGAGCCUUUGCUUUCACUGUAGCCAUUUCUGCUGAAAUAAUCCCCAGAGGGAUUAUUGCUGUCAUUAGGCUUUCUGGAUAAAUGAGAGGCAGAUGCGGUCCUUGUGUGAAUUGGCAGGAGGGUGUUGCACAGCCAGGUGGGUGCUGCAUCUCACCUGGGAUGUAGAACAGUGUCUUGUUAAUGAGUUUGUCCCAGUGAAGUCCAUUAACCCUCCUGCAGAUCCCUGCCAGCUGAAAGCUCCAUUCAAAUCCUGGGUAGUGGGGUGACCACUGGCCCAAUCCUCCCCGCUAUAUGUAUUUAUAAUAUAUUGCCUGUAUUUCUUGAUACAAUUUUUAUAUAAAUCAAUAAGUCAAGGGAGUCAAGGAAAAAUAGGGAAGUAUGAUGUGCUGCUGAGAGAAUCCUGGAAUAGAGUGGCAGUUCCCUGUUGAGAACAGCUCAGAGGUGUCCUGGACAAUACAGUUUGUGUGCAUGUUUCUGCUUUGUUCAAGUUUUUAAUCCCAUCCGUCUUUCCGACUCUCAUCCCUGAGAAGGUCCUUUGGCUGUGGAUUAACCUUGUCAGGAGAACCAAGGCAUGUGACAUGCUUGGCGACAGGGGCAGGUACGUGUGGGGCUCUCCCAAGUUGCUGUCAGCACCUCAGCUUUGCAGAUCUCCAGAAUGGAUGAUGUUGCUGCCACUCAUUCUGAGUGGUUGCUGCCUCAUUUAUGUGAGUUUGAUGGUACGUCAAAUAUCCAAACCUCUUGCUACAAUUCAUUAUCUGAAGGUAAAUUUAGGCACAAGUCAACAGCCAAGAUCCUUGGCUUUGAAUACGCUUGCCUUCCUGUAACACUCAUUCAUUCAAUUUGUUCCUUUGUUCCCAUCCACCACUCAUGAAGGGCUUUUGGAGUUGUCACUGUUUCAUUCUAGAUAACACCCCAGUUGUCCGUGCUUGUUCUUUUCUGUAGUAAUUCCUGUUGGCUGCACAGCACUUCACAGUCAGUAUUCACUGUGCAUGAGAGCCCUCACACAGUCCCACAUUUGGAGCUGGUGGCUGCACUCCUCCAGCUGUUGCAUCUCAUCAUCCUAGGAAAGAAAAGAAGGAAGGUUGGAUGUGUUGUGAUCAAAUGCUCUUCCUUUGCCCUAACCUGGAAAUCUUGCAGGAGGGUUCUGAAAUCUUUUACCAAGUAGGAAGGCUCUGAGCUUGAAACACAAAUGUGGCACCACUCUUUUUCAGACGCUCCUUCAGAGAGGUGUUGAGGGGAACAGAGUUUGAUCCUUUCUUUUUAGCUGGUGUUUCAGUUAAUAACCUGAAGAAAAACCUUCCGUUUCAUACCAUCAUUUUAAUGCAAAGGCCAAUAAGUGACAUUUCUUAGGCAUUUGUUUCAUGCUUUAUGUUACAGCUGCAUGUAUUCACGCAUUUACUCAAACAUUCAUAUAGAAUCAUCUAAUCCUUAGAGUUGGAAGGGCCCUUUGAAGGCCAUCUGGUCCAACUCCCUGCAAUGAACAGGGACACCACAGCUCAGUCAGGUUGCCCAGGGCCUGAUCCAGCCUCACCUUGAAAGUCUCCAGGGACGGGGCAUCAACCACAUCACAAGGCAACCUGUUCCAGUGCCUCACCACCCUCGCUGUAAAAGACUUUUUCCUUAUAUCCAGCCUGAAUCUCCCCUCUUCAAGCUUGAAACCGUUUCCCUUUGUUCUAUCACAACAGACCCCGCUAAAAAGGUCUCUUUCUUCUUCCCUUCUUUCCUUUUGUUCACUUAUCUAAUGUUAAAAUUGGGCCAUAGGACACAAAAGUUGUUGAGCUCAAGCUUCAGAGGACCUGGUUCCUGCAGUGGUACCUUCAGGGGGUAAAUCACUUAUGCCUCAGGACCGUGCUGUGUGCUGGAUGGCUUCUCUAAGUAGCUCCUUCCAGUUCCUCAACUGAUGACACCUGGGGUUGAAUAGUAGACCUCUAUAGUCAUGUGCCUUAAGGACCUCACAGACACAAGUGCCAUGCUGAAGGUAUCAAGUGAAGGCACAACUCAAGUGUCGCUGGAAACAAAGCAGUCACCCCUGAUGUGCAAUGGUGCAAAGACUUUGCAGCUAACACAGCCCUUCUUUACAGUGUUCUUAAGACUAUUAUCCCUUGGAAAGCUAUUUAAUAACAUUUUUUUGUAAAGAGGAGUUCCAAAUACCUCAGUGCUUUACAUCUAUAGUAGUUCUUCUCCCCCAUCACAGACCUUCGUGGGGAUGACUGUAUGUAUAGCACUGGCAGUCCCAGCAAUGUUUGGCUGUGGCUGCAAUGGGAACAGCGUGGCUCCCCAACUGCAGAGCCGCAGUACACAUAAUGCUAACAGGAGAGGGAGGGGCUCAGCCCUUCCCAAGGUUCCCCCUGCUCAGGUCACACCUCUGAAGCCUUCAGUGUAUGCAGGUACUGCACAGUGCUGCAGAGUGUGUGUCAGAUGUGCGGGUCCCUGCUUGCUUUGACAUGAGAGAAGCUACUUCAGUUGCUGCUUCCGUUCAGGACCAAAAUGCACAAAAGAAAUAGCAGAAUAAAAUGGCAGCACUCUGGCAUUGAUUAGGGACCACAACUAAGACACUGUUGUUAGAUUUGUGCAUGAAAUUAGUGGGGCAUCACCAGAUUUGAGGCGUGUAACGCAUGCCCGGUCCAUAGCUUUGCUUGCAGCCUGCAAAGAGGAUCGUGGACAUCCCAGCACCUCUUAUCCUGAUUUGAGAAUCUAGGUUUGUAGAACACAGGAUAGCCAAAGCCUGAUCCCAAAUGUUAUUUGUGUACGUAUAAUUAUUCUCAGGUGGAAUCCACCUAUUUCUGACAGCUAACGACUAGACAGUUAAUUAUGUGACAACUGUAAUGCCUCAAUUCUCAUGCUGCGUUACAGGGAAACUAAUUUCUCUCUUGAGAUGUCUGAUCCUCUCAGCUGACUACAGAGGGAGCAGAAGUUAGGACAGCUCAAAGGUACCCACACAUCUACCUUAAGUAAGCCUCACCCAGCAUGUCUGCUGGCUGAUGUUACUAACAUUGGGUAAUGCCUGCCUCAUCUCUGAAGGUCUGUAGGUGUUUAUCAUAUUGUGUGGGAUCUCAUUUCAUAGCUGAUGACAUAAACCGCGACAGUUACUUAUGUAAUUAGCAGAUAGUCAUUAGCUUUUGUAAAAUCAGUAGAAUUCCACAUGGGAGCAAUUGCACAAGUGUUAGUAGUUCAGGCUGUUGUUGACUGGAGAGCUGUUAGGAAGUACCUAAUGAACAGCAAUAGUUCAUGGUGAUGGAAAACUUACCAUGUUCUAAUACAGAGUGUUUCAUAUUCUGUAUUGGAUGCUCUAUUGGGAACUCUCCUACUGUAAUGCCUUUUUAAAAGAUAUAGGGGGAAAAAAAAGCACAUUUGAACAAAAACUCAAAAAUUUCUAUCCUUGGUUUCAGUUCAGGAGGUGCGUUUUCAAAACUGAAUUCCUGUCUAAAGUGCUCUAAGUCGCAAAAAAAAUACCAGCAGUCUUCAUUUUGAAUGGUUCCAGAUGUACAACACAGAUGAGGCCAUAGGAUCUGCUACGGUAGAUAACACCCUUAUCAGUUUGCAGAAAUAGAGCAAACGAGAGACCAACUCCAGCAGAAGACUGAAGAUUUGCAAAGCAUCUUCCACAGUGCCUACGAACAGCAGAUUAUUUCUGGCUCUCCAUUCCACAAAACGCAGGUAGCAGCAAACACACACAAGCAGGAUCUGUGUCCUUGCCUUCUGCAGGCCUGAAGCCUUUUGAACCAGCUCCAACACUGUCCAAAGUGCAAGAAGGGUGGUUGAUUUAAUUGAAGGCAGAUAAAUGCUAUGGGAAUGAUUAAAAGGAUUCAAGGAACAGAGUCAGAAAGAUAAAACGAGCUUAUUGCAGGCAGGGAUAUAUUCAUGGCAUCAGUAUAUGCUGUGGCUCUUCCAGUACACUUUCCAGUCUACACAAGGCCGUGCAGAGCUACCUGCAGGAUUUUAAGUGUGCCCAUUGCUUGAGCUCUGUUUGAGGUUAACAAUAUGGAAAACCUGGUGUGUGAUUCCUUGCUGCAAGGACCUGCUGGUGUACAUGUGGGCUUUCAGGUUAUGGAAAUGACCCAUUAUUUAUAAAAUAGCUUCUUCCUGUUUGCAGUGAUGCAGUGAAAUACUGAGUCAUCUCUAAACCUUUAGCCUUCCCUGAACAGCCUUUCUCAUUUGCGGCAUCUUACAUUUGGGUUGAUAGCAGUAGAGAGGAGAUUUUACUUGAACAUAUCACUUAUGGAUGAAUUGCUGCACCUGUAAAGAAAGCAUGUCCUGGAACUGCACUUCAGAUCUGUAGUUAUCAAGACUGACUUCAUUCCAUACACAAACUCCUCUGGUUUUAUAGGACUUACAGUGGUAUGUUGGUAUGCCCUAACUGUGCUUUAAGUGCAUCAUGGCAGUAACCACUCCUGUCCUCAGUUUUUCCAACAUGGAAAAAUGGGCAGCUUCCCACUUCUCAUAUUGACUUGAAGUGGUUUCUUGCCCAAUAACAAGAUUGCUUUGUGUUGCAUGCCAAGAUACCCAAUUCUCUUCCCACAGAGCAAAGCGCCUGGGGCCUAAGAAGUUCUGGCUUCAGCUGGGAGCUGUACUUUAUUUCUCUGUCUUUUUCAACCUUUUUCAAUCUCUGCGGAACGCUGUAGAACAGAAUCAUAGAAUCACCAAGGUUGAAAGAGGCCUACAAGGUCAUCCAGUCCAACCAUCUACCUAUCACCAGUACUUCUCACUUAGCCACGUUCCUCAGUCUGACCCUUUAAGGGAUGAAAUGGAGGAGGCAUCUGAAAACAGAACGUAAAUCCUUUCCUCAGAAUUGCACAGUUGGGAAUUAUAUCCCUUGUCUACAGAAUAUAGCACAGGUUAAAGUAAAGCAUGAUGGUUGCUCCCAUUUCUUGCCAAGGCAGAAUCUUUGAAAAUCUUUGGCAAGAGAAAUGUGGAUGUGACAUGCUGCUUUUUCUCGUGGAACAUUUUAAUGGCAGCGCUCAGUUUUCCCCAGGGGACCUUCCUUCCUCGGAGCAGGAACUUGUCGCUGCUUAGCUGAUUUAGAUGUGCCUUCUGCCAAAAUCAGCAAGGAAGGAAUGGAUGGGAUGGACAUUAGCAAUAGGGAAAUCUUGACAUGUCUGAAGAGAAUGCAUGCUCGGAGGAGGGGCUUCUUCUGUUUCCAAAAGCGAAGUUUUAUCUGCAAAACAAGCUUUGCUUUUCCUGCAGAUGUCUCAUCUCUGCCUCGCGGCAAUGCUGUGAUGAUGUUUCAUCUUGUGAGAAGCCAAGGGGAAGAGAACUUACUAUAGUGAAAACAUCUACUCACAAGCUAUUUAAACUGAACUAAAACAAGCACUACAACCAGCUGGGACUGCAAUGAUUAAAGUCUCCGCAGUUAUUACAGGGUUUGGUUUUCUACUGAAACAACACAUGCUGCAGACUAAGAUGAAGGAAGGAAGUAUGCACUGGUACAAUAGCAGACAAAAAUACCACUCAUUACCCUUCUGCUGACUGGCCAUGAGUGGCUUCGGAUAGACACGUCUGUCUUCUAAGAUAAAUCAGCAAUGCAAAGCCCAAGUGUAUAUAAAAAAUGCCAUUUUUUUAACACACAAAGAUCAAUUUUAGAGCUGUGGAGGUGCUAAGCAGCAUGCGGAGCGCUUGUAUCUCUCAGAAAUUUAGCUGAACCAAGUACCUAGGAAGCCAUGAGCAGACUGAAAGCAGCAGUGAAGCUGCAGGGCAAGCUGUCAUCUUCUUCUCACUUGUCCCUGAAAUGCCCCGACCAAAAUGAACCAUAGAAGCGUCUUAGAAUCAUAGGAUGGUUUGGGUUGGAAGGUCAUCCAGUUCCAACCCCCUGUCAUGGGCUGGUUGCUACCACCACACUGGGCUGCCCAGGGCCCAUCCAACCUGGCCUGGAGCACCUCCAGCGAUGGGGCAUCCACAACUCUCUGGGCAGCAGUGUCAAGGCCUCACCACCCACUCAGCAAAAUAUUUUCCCAACAUCCAAUCUAGAUCUCCUCUUUUUUAGUUUAAAACCAUCCGCCUUGUCCUAUCUCUAUCUGCCCAUGCAUAAAGUUGAUUUCCUUCCUGCUUAGUAGCUCCCUUUAAGUACUGGAAGGCUGCAAGGAGAUCUCCCAGGAGCCUUCUCUUCUCCAAGCUGAACACACUCAGCUCCCUCAGCCUUUUUUUAUAGGAGAGGCCAGCCCAUGUCUUCCCGAGCCAGAACGGCCCCUCACACACAAAGAGGAAAACAUAGGAGGCUUUUAAAAGCUGAUGGCUGGGUUGAAAGACUUGAAUUGACAAGAAAAGAAUGGCUGUGAGGAGAUACUGUACUGAAUAAAUAUUAAUUAUUUUUGUAAACCCCAAUGGAUGCUAAUAGUGGUCUUGCAUUUGCAGUGUCGUCCGGAAGGCAGAACCCUCACACACAGCGUGUGGGAGUGCACAGAUGAACAGGAGUCUUCAUGCAUGAAAAUGGGCGUAUGUAUUUCAUGAACUAGAUUGUUCAGCAGAUUUUGCUUAACCUGCUUUGCACUAUGCCACCAAAAUGAGGACAACUGCAGACGUGUAUGUAAAGUGGCAAAUAUUAGCAAAAUUAAUUCCAAAGCAUGACCUCUUUCAAGGCACUUUACAAACAAAUAGUAAUAAUGGGGCCACAAUUUAGUGAUUUCUAAGCUAUCUACAUUGAGUUUUGAAAUGUAUCUGAAAAUGAGUGCCAUCAAAGAACACAACGGAAAUUGGGCUCUGCCUUCCCAAAUUCUUUUAAGAGUUUCCUGGAAAAAAAAAAAAAGAGUGCUGGGAUGGGCACAGCAGCAGGUGCAGGAGGACAAGGCAGACAGAGAGCAGUGUGUGUGCAUUAUCUGCUCCGGCAGCAGGGACCCAGUGUCACGUGUAUUGUGUCACCAAGCCACAGCCAGAGAGGAGGAGGGCAAGCCCUGCUUGUUAUAGCUGUUAAAGCCAGAACACCAUUUCUCAUAGUGAAAUCAUAGAAUCAUAGAAUGGCCUGGGUUGAAAAGGACUACAAUGAUUAUCUAGUUGCAACCCCCCUGCUAUGUGCAGGGUCACCAACCACCAGACCAGGCUGCCCAGAGCCACAUCCAGCCUGGCCUUGAAUGCCUCCAGGGAUGGGGCAUCCACAACCUCCUUGGGCAACCUGUUCCAGUGUGUCACCACCUGCUGUGUGCAAACUGCUGUUGGAGAUGAUUCAGCCAUCAUCUGCACGUUAAAUGUCUGAAAAGACCUUUCGUUACCACAUCAAGCACUGCCAGAGGACCACAUCAAACUGCUACCAUGGAGUAACAGUGAGAUUCAAAGCUGUGGCACAGGCACUGUAGGACCGCCUGGCACUGAGCUGAAGGUGCAACUACUGUCUGCGUGCAUCACUGAAUUGGCCUGAGACCAAACUACACACUUAAUAUCCAACAGCCACCAAUGCCCAGUGACAUGUUAACCACGUCAAUAAACAAUUAGCUAAACAGGUGCUGGGUUCUCCUGGUUAAAAGAAAACCAGACCUUCAUUAAAUUCUAAGAUAAGGUUGGAAAAAGAAUUGUUUCUGUAAUCCAGUUAUCUGCUGCAUUAAUUUGGGAACUGGCUAAUUUCGAUCGCUUGAUUUGUUGGCUUAACUAAAAUUG
ensembl:lncRNA